CCUGGCGCCAGGAGGUGGCGGCUGCGGAGGAGCAGCCUGGGUGCGACGUGGAGGGCUGCAGGCGGCGGAGAUGCACUAGGCCUCGCUCUGGGCGUCUGCCCGGGACCCGCAGUUGAGUGGUGAUUUUAUGCAAUGGCUUCAAGCCACAGUUCUUCACCAGUGCCUCAAGGAAGCAGCAGUGAUGUUUUCUUUAAAAAAGAGGUAGAUCCAACAAAACACAUUCGACCUGUGCAGUCACUGCCAGAUGUGUGUCCCAAGGAACCCACAGUUACAGAUCAACAUAGAUGGACUAUAUAUCAUUCCAAAGUAAAUCUCCCAGCAGCAUUAAAUUAUCCUAGAUUAGCAAAAAGAGAAUCUGACUUCUUCACAAAAACAUGGGGACUGGACUUUGUGGACACUGAAGUCAUACCUUCAUUCUACCUCCCACAAAUCAGCAAGGAAUAUUUUACAAUAUAUCAAUAGGAAAUCUCUCAGAGAGAGAAGAUUCAUGAGAGAUGCAAGAAUAUUUGUCCUCCUAAAGAUACCUUUGACAGGACUCUUGUACAUACUCAUGAUAAAUCCAGGACAGAUCUGGAGCAAGUACCUAAGAUUUUUAUGAAACCAGAUUUUGCCUUGGACAAUUCCUUAACUUUUAAUUCAGUUUUACCAUGGUCUCAUUUUAAUACUGCUGGUGGAAAAGGAAAUCGUGAUGCAGCUUCCUCAAAGUUGCUUCAAGAAAAGCUGAGCCAUUAUCUGGAUAUUGUGGAAGUAAACAUUGCUCACCAGAUCUCUCUACGUUCAGAAGCAUUUUUUCAUGCAAUGACCUCUCAACAUGAGAGGACUUGAGAGCAGGACUACCUCAAGAAAACUUCCCAGGCUGUAAAAAUGCUUCGAGAUAAAAUCGCACAGAUUGAUAAAGUAAUGUGUGAAGGAUCACUACACAUUUUAAGACUGGCACUCACCAGAAAUAAUUGUGUUAAAGUGUACAAUAAACUGAAGUUAAUGGCCACUGUACACCAGACUCAGCCUACAGUACAGGUUUUAUUAUCUACUUAUGAAUUUGUUGGAGCACUGGACUUAAUAGCAACAACACAAGAGGUUCUACAGCAGGAACUUCAGGGCAUUCACAGUUUCCGGUAUUUGGGAUCACAGCUUUGUGAAUUAGAAAAACUGAUUGAUAAAAUGAUGAUUGCAGAGUUUUCUACUUAUUCUCACAGUGACUUAAAUAGACCACUGGAAGAUGACUGUCAAGUUUUAGAAGAGGAAAGACUAGUAUCUCUUGUAUUUGGACUUUUAAAACAAAGAAAACUUAAUUUUUUAGAAAUCUAUAGUGAAGAAAUGAUUAUUACAGCAAAAAAAUAUCAUUAAACAGUGUGUGAUUAAUAAAGUUUCACAAAUAGAAGAAAUAGACACAGAUGUUGUGAAGCUUGCAGAUCAGAUGAGAAUGUUGAAUUUUCCUCAGUGGUUUGAUCUGCUAAAGGAUAUUUUCUCUAAGUUUACAAUUUUCCUACAGAGAGUUAAGGCAACGUUAAAUAUUAUUCACAGUGUUGUUCUCUCAGUUCUUGACAAAAACCAAAGGACUAGAGAAUUGGAGGAGAUUUCACAACAGAAGAAUGCUGCAAAAGAUAAUUCAUUGGACACAGAGGUGGCUUAUUUAAUCCAUGAAGGCAUGUUUAUAAGUGAUGCAUUCAGUGAGGGUGAAUUGACAGCUAUGACAGUCGACACUGCCUCUCAAAGAAAUGCAUCUCCAAAUAGUGAGCCCUGCAGCAGUGAUUCGGUAUCAGAGCCAGAAUGCACUACUGAUUCUUCAUCCAGUAAAGAGCAGACAUCAUCAUCUGCUACUCCAGGAGGAGUGGAUAUUAUGGUCAGUGAAGACAUGAAAUUAACUGACUUAGAGCUAGGAAAGCUGGCAAAUAAUAUCCAGGAGUUACUGUACAGUGCCUCAGAUAUAUGUCAUGAUCGAGCCGUCAAAUUUCUCAUGUCAAGAGCAAAGGAUGGUUUUCUUGAGAAGCUAAAUUCCAUGUAAUUCAUAACACUGUCUAGAUUAAUGGAAACAUUCAUUUUAGACACUGAACAGAUCUGUGGAAGAAAAAGUAUGUCAUUACUUGGAGCACUUCAGAGCCAAGCUAAUAAAUUUGUAAAUAGGUUUCACGAAGAGAGAAAAACCAAACUCAGUCUCCUCUUAGACAAUGAGCGCUGGAAGCAAGCUGAUGUUCCUGCAGAAUUUCAGGAUCUUGUUGAUUCUAUAUCAGAUGGAAAGAUUGCUUUACCUGAAAAAAAAUUAGGAGCUACAGAAGAAAGGAAACCAGCUGAGGUUCUCAUUGUUGAGGGACAACAGUAUGCUGUUGUUGGAACUCUAUUGCUAUUAAUAAGAAUUAUCCUUGAAUAUUGCCAGUGUGUGGAUAAUAUCCCAUCCGUUACUACUGACAUGCUUACUCGUCUGUCAGAUUUAUUGAAGUACUUCAAUUCAAGAAGUUGCCAAUUAGUUCUUGGAGCUGGUGCACUGCAAGUUGUUGGACUAAAAACAAUAACUACAAAAAAUUUGGCUCUGUCUUCACGAUGUUUGCAGUUAAUUGUGCACUACAUUCCUGUGAUCCGGGCUCAUUUUGAAGCUCGACUACCACCUAAGCAAUAUAGCAUGCUUAGGCAUUUUGAUCAUAUCACUAAGGACUACCAUGACCACAUAGCUGAAAUAUCAGCUAAGCUUGUAGCGAUAAUGGAUAGCUUAUUUGACAAGCUGUUAUCUAAGUAUGAGGUGAAAGCUCCCGUUCAUUCUGCCUGUUUCAGGAAUAUUUGUAAGCAAAUGGCAAAAAUGCAUGAAGCUAUAUUUGAUCUUCUUCCAGAAGAACAAACACAGAUGUUAUUUUUAAGAAUUAAUGCAAGUUACAAACUCCACUUGAAAAAGCAGUUAUCUCACUUAAAUGUGAUAAAUGAUGGAGGACCUCAAAAUGGGUUGGUCACAGCAGAUGUAGCUUUUUACACUGGAAAUCUUCAAGCCUUAAAAGGCCUUAAAGAUUUGGACCUAAAUAUGGCUGAGAUCUGGGAACAGAAGAGGUGAUGUCAUACUGGAAAACUGGAUAGUUCAUCUGACCAUGGGAUGUGUAUGUUUAUGAAGAAAAUCUGGAUGUGUAUGAUUCAAGAACUGAACCUGGAACCCAAAGUGAACUGGGGUAUGGGGUAAGGGAAAAAACAAAGUAUCAGUGUUGGGAAACUGGAUUCAGUAGGAUCUACAAGGAAUGCCAUUUUGGUGCAUCCUUCAGUGAGGAGUUAACUGAUCAGGUGUCUAUAACAUUUUUCAUUAUCUCUGGAAACAGACUCAGGUUUCUUUGGACCAAAUCCAAAAGAACACAUAGCUGUAACACAGCUGUAGUUGACUAGAAUGCUCUGUAUACUUUAUAAUAAAAAAUGCUUUGCAUUUCUUCCAGUGCAA